rnacentral:rRNA from 1 species
CAAGGAAUUUUCCACAAUGGGCGCAAGCCUGAUGGAGCAACGCCGCGUGCAGGAUGACGGCUUUCGGGUUGUAAACUGCUUUUUGGGGGGAAGAAACGGACGGUACCCCCAGAAUAAGCCUCGGCUAACUCUGUGCCAGCAGCCGCGGUAAGACAGAGGAGGCAAGCGUUGUCCGGACUUACUGGGCGUAAAGCGUCCGCAGGUGGUCGUGCAAGUGCCGUGUGAAAGCCGGCGGCUUAACUGCCGGAGGCCAUAGCAGACUGCUCGACUCGAGACCGGGAGAGGUUGGUGGAAUUGCCGGUGUAGUGGUGAAAUGCGUAGAGAUCGGCAGGAACACCCAAGGGGAAGCCAGCUGACUGGCCCGGUACUGACACUCAGGGACGACAGCGUGGGGAGCGAACCGGAUUAGAUACCCGGGUAGUCCACGCCGUAAACGAUGGACACUCGUCCUUUGCGAGGUAACCAUUCCUCGUGGGGGGCUCAGCUAACGCGGAAGUGUCCCGCCUGGGAACUACGAGCGCAAGCUUAA